GAGCGAACGCUAGUGGCGGGCUUAACACAUGCAAGUCGAACGAAGUCUUCGGACUUAGUGGCGGACGGGUGAGUAACACGUAGGUUAUCUACCUUUUGGUUGUGGUAUAACUCAGGGAAACUUGAGCUAAUCCCCCUAUUGAUCUUCGGAUUGAAAGCUUCGGCGCCAAGAGAUGAGCCUGUGGCCUAUUAGCUUGUUGGUGGGGUAAUGGCCUACCAAGGCGACGAUAGGUAGCUGGUCUGAGAGGAUGAUCAGCCACACUGGGACUGAGACACGGCCCAGACUCCUGCGGGAGGCAGCAGUGGGGAAUAUUGGACAAUGGGCGAAAGCCUGAUCCAGCCACGCCACGUGAGUGAUUGAAGGCCCUAGGGUUGUAAAACUCUGUCCUAUGGGAAGAUAAUGACAGUACCAUAGAAGAAAGCACCGGCUAACUCCGUGCCAGCAGCCGCGGUAAUACGGAGGGUGCAAGCGUUGCUCGGAAUUACUGGGCGUAAAGGGAACGCAGGCGGUUUAUUAAGUCAGAUGUGAAAGCCCGGGACUCAACUCCGGAACUGCAUCUGAAACUGGUAAACUAGAGGAUGAGAGAGGAAAGUAGAAUUCCUGGUGUAGAGGUGAAAUUCGUUGAUAUCAGGAGGAAUACCCGUGGCGAAGGCGGCUUUCUGGCUCAUUUCUGACGCUGAGGUUCGAAAGUGUGGGGAGCAAACAGGAUUAGAUACCCUGGUAGUCCACACCGUAAACGAUGAAUGCUAGACGUCCGACUUGUUUAUCGGUUGGGUGUCGAAGCUAACGCAUUAAGCAUUCCGCCUGGGGAGUACGGUCGCAAGAUUAAAACUCAAAGGAAUUGACGGGGGCCCGCACAAGCGGUGGAGUAUGUGGUUUAAUUCGACGCAACGCGCAGAACCUUACCCAGUCUUAACAUCCCGAGAAGCAAGCAGAGAUGCUCGCGUGCUGCCGCAAGGUUGAACUCGGUGAUAGGUGCUGCAUGGCUGUCGUCAGCUCGUGUCGUGAGAUGUUCGGUUAAGUCCGGUAACGAGCGCAACCCCUAUCCUUAGUUGCCAAUUAUGGAACUCUAAGGAGACUGCCGGUGUCAAACCGGAGGAAGGUGGGGACGACGUCAAGUCCUCAUGGCCCUUACGACUGGGGCUACACACGUACUACAAUGGCAACUACAGUGGGACGCAAAGCUGUGAAGUGGAGCAAAUCCCCAAAAGUCGCCUCAGUUCAGAUUGUAGUCUGCAACUCGACUACAUGAAGUUGGAAUCGCUAGUAAUCGCGUAACAGCAUGACGCGGUGAAUACGUUCCCGGGCCUUGCACUCACCGC
rnacentral:rRNA from 1 species